UCCAUGGCGACGCCGCCCGCCGGGAGCCGGGCCCGGGAGCGCGGGCACGCGCGGCGCCGGGAAUGCCGCUGGCGCUCCGGGAAUGCCGCGGCCCCGGCCCGGUUACCGGCUCCCAGCCGCUGCCGCGCCCCGGCUGCUGCUCCCAGCGGGCUCAGGCCCGAAGGCUUUGAGAGGAGCCCCGGGCUGCGGCGGGGCCGCGGCCGCGCACCGCCCUCCUCCGCCCAGCCCCGGGAGGAGCUGCUCCCGGAGCCUCCGAGCGCGGCAGCCCGGACGGACCGCGGCCGGACGCCUGGUCCAACCCGCCUGCUCCAGCAGGGCCGUCCCACAGCGCUCUGGAGCCAGGGAAACUCCACACUGUCUCUGCACAAGCUGUUGUGCGCGGUCACUGCACACUAAAGAAGUUCUUCCUAAUGUUCAGGCAGAAAUUCCUGUACAUCGGUUUCUGCCCGUUGCCUCUUCUGCUGCUGGGCACCACGGAGCAGAGCCUGGAUCCAUCCUCCUGACAUCCCCCUUUAGAUGUUUAUGCACAGGGAUGAGGUCCCCUCUGUCGUCUCGAGGCUGAACAGCCCCAAUUCUCUCAGCCUCUUCUCACACCAGAGAUGCUCUAGUCUCUUAAGGAUUUUUGUUACCCUCCCACCAGACCCACUCCAUGUCUGUUUUUUGCAACCUUAGUUAUAAAGCUGCAUUUUAAAGCAACUACUUCUUUAUCCUUCAUGGAAAAAUUUGCAGUACUCCCACUCUAUAACUGAGGUGAGAAUGGGAAAUAGAUGUCCUGUGCAGAAGCUCUUUACCAACGUGUAUUUGGCCAUCUUGUUCCCUGGGCUCAUGACUGCUGUUCUGUUGGCUGUGCGGAAUGAACCUCCAUGUUCCCUCAGACCAGCACUGUCUUCAUCCUCUGUGCUGUGGAAGGCACCUGAUCUCCAUAACACUGCUGCUCCCAAUGAGCACUAAAUCUGAGCCAUCAAAACAUGGGAGAGCAGUAUGUGGAACAAAGGAUCGAUUUUCAUUCAUAACUUCAUGAAAUAAUAACGCACUUCUCCUUGGCUCACAGCUCUGGCACAGCAAUGACUUUUGGCAAGCUCCCUCCAAAUACUCCAAGAUUUUCCAGCUUGUUCUUUUUUGCCAUCAGGUUGCAGAGCAAUACCUAACUGCUGCUUUGGGUGAAGCCAUCGGCACAGGCUGAGUGUAGUCUGGAACAGGCUGCACAGAUGUCAAGAGAAAGCUGGGGACAUUAGUGCUUAAAGGAUGCCAGGUCUGAGUAAACUGAAAGCAGAUUCUUACUUCUGGUGAUUCUACACUCACUGUUUGGCAGCCUAAAGCUUUGUAAACAAAUGUUGAGAAAUGCAGCUGGCAUAGGUAAAAGUAUAUUUUUUUCUCCCCUCUUAGGUAAAACUUGCACAGAAAAUAUUAGACUUUUAUUCUCUCUUUUGCUGCAAGACUUCAGGGGACAACAACUGCACAAAACCUAGAAGCUUCCUUGUGCAACUGACAAAUUGUGGACAUGGUCUUUAUGCGUUUUCUUCACAUUUUUAUUUUAAAGCAGGUAAAGUCUGUACAAAAAUAAAUUUGUCACAUAACCAGCUCUAAUAUUGGGAUGUUUUUUCCUGUUACUACAUGACCUUUUCCUUGCUCCUCGCAGAGACUUUUAGAAUAGUUUAUGCCUAUAUUCAAGACACUGUUCAUGAGCAGCAGCAUGAAUGAUGCCUGGUUUCUCACAGGUCUGUGUUCUUUGU